rnacentral:lncRNA from 12 species
UUUUUUACUAUAUUCAAAAAUAGUAAAGUAAUGGUGAUUUUAUCUUUUUACUUCCAUUACAGGGGACCACAGGUGGCAUCUACUGUGGCCCAGACAUGCAUAUUACUGGAAGAUGUCUGCUAUUUUUAUAACUGUGGCUUAGGGCUUUCACAUACUGCUAAUGAGAUGAAGCACUAUGCUCUUAGUUUCUGUAGUGAUUUUCAAAGCCAGUCGUGCAGGAAGACAUCAGUCAACAGUCAUUGCAGAUAAAUUUGGUGAAGCCAGUAACUCACCUGUGUCCCUAUGGAUUGUGGGCCUUUUCUUGCCAGUGGAGAAUGAAAAUCUUCAAGUGUCAUCACUAGCUGUUGUUUUUGCUUUAUGUUUAACUGACAUGGUUAUUGGCACCUCAAAAGAGUAGCACUAUUUUCUCUAUUUUUGUGUGUUCCUCCCUGGCACUAGUGGGGAGGUGUAGUAGCUUUUCUCAUUGCUUGGUGUUGACUGGUGAAGAAUCAUCAUGCCAGAUUUUGAACAUCCAAACUCAGUGAUAACAUUUGAAGACUAAAUACCUUUUUUGAUGCUACUUCUUUUAAGACUAUUUUAUAAAUAGUAAUAUUGCUUAUGUAAUAGCAGUCCCUUUUUAUACUUAUGCAAUGGGCAAUUUUUGGAAUAAACUCUUAUUUUGUUACUUUACCCUGCA